CUAGUCUUCUCAAAGCCCUUGCCCUCAGUCAAGAAUGUGCCCACCGCCACCCACAGCCACCCCACCAUCCCCACUCAGCCAUGGGGGCCCCGCACAUCCACUGGGUUCUCACAGGUGCUCUGCUGCUGCUCCCCGUGAAACUGGCUGGGAAGGAAGACCUCACAGACAGGCUGCUUCAGGGCCGCUCUCUGAACUUCAGACAAUAACCUCCUUUAGUAACAUACAUUAAAUGGUCUGCUGGUCAUGCCGCUAUGCCACUGGGGCCAUGGGAGGAGCCUCUGCCGACCAGACAGCUCGGAUGGAUUUACUUAAGGCCCCCAGAACACGAAGUGACAGCCACUGAGGAAGGAUGACCCUGAUGCUGUCCUCUUCCUCACCAGCUACAUCCUCCGUGAACCCCCUCUGCCUCCUGCCAUGGCUUCCGGACCUCAGCACAGGACAAUGGGCUGGGUAAUCUGGCUGUGGCCACACUGCCUGCUGACUCAGAGGUGGUCCAUGGGCAGCACCUCCUCCAAGAAGCUGGUCCUGUUCUUCCAGUUUGCAGUAUCUGAAGCUUCCCAGCAUCCCCCGGGACGGGCCUGGAUCUAUCAGGAUCUUCUCCUCACCCUGCUGAGGCCUAAGGGAUAUGUCCCAGCAAGGUUUAUUCCAAAUGGCCAACGGCCUCUUGCUGGCCAAAGUGAUGCUUUCUGCC
rnacentral:lncRNA from 1 species